GUGGGGAAUAUUGGACAAUGGGCGCAAGCCUGAUCCAGCCAUGCCGCGUGAGUGAUGAAGGCCUUAGGGUUGUAAAGCUCUUUUGUCCGGGAAGAUAAUGACUGUACCGGAAGAAUAAGCCCCGGCUAACUUCGUGCCAGCAGCCGCGGUAAUACGAAGGGGGCUAGCGUUGUUCGGAAUCACUGGGCGUAAAGCGCACGUAGGCGGACCAUUAAGUCAGGGGUGAAAGCCUGGAGCUCAACUCCAGAACUGCCUUUGAUACUGAUGGUCUCGAGUAUGGAAGAGGUUGGUGGAACUGCGAGUGUAGAGGUGAAAUUCGUAGAUAUUCGCAAGAACACCGGUGGCGAAGGCGGCUCACUGGUCCGGUACUGACGCUGAGGUGCGAAAGCGUGGGGAGCAAACAGGAUUAGAUACCCCAGUAGUCC
rnacentral:rRNA from 1 species